AACGUAGGACGCGAGCGUUAUCCGGAGUUACUGGGCGUAAAGGGUGGGCAGGCGGCCGUGUCAGAUGGGUGUGAAAUCUCCCGGCUCAACCGGGAGGGGCCACUCGUGACUGCACGGCUGGAGGGCAGCAGAGGCGCGUGGAAUUCCGGGUGGGGUGGUGAAAUGCGUAGAGAUCCGGAGGAACACCAGAGGCGAAGGCGGCGCGCUGGGCUGCACCUGACGCUGAACCACGAAAGCCAGGGUAGCGAACGGG
rnacentral:rRNA from 1 species